CACAAUACUUUGCCAUGGGUUCUUUAUAAACUUGAGUUGGGGGGGGGUGCGGCAAAACCCACGCUACACCCGUGCUUUACUUCCGCUCCAGCAAGUUUCAAAACAAAGUCCCGCAAUUAAAGGAAAAUUACAAAAAUGUUCCUAACAAAUACAAUGAAGAACAUUAAAAUAAUUCGUUACAAUCGCUAUGAUUUUGACGACUGAAAUUAGCUGCUUAAUUUUGUUCUGCCCUGCCUACUGAGAAACCUGACACCGGGUCAUUUGCGUACUAACAGCGAUUGGAUGUUUAGCCGGGGGGAGAGUGGAUGCGCACAAACGGAGCACGGAGGAAAAGAGCAAACGAGACAUGAAACCUAUCAUGUUUGACUUAAGGGGGCAGGACGUUUGUUUCAGGGGUAACGCCCCCUCUUGCCCGCCCCUACGACACACGCCGAGAAUCCCGACACUGACGUUGAGGUCCAUCCCCUACUCAUGCUCACUGAGGUACCGCAGGGCUUUUGCCACCCGGUGGGGAACACACGGUUUUCGGUGCUUGUCAGCGGGUCUCUCAUAAAUCUGCUGCCCUGUAUAACCGGAGUAUUAGCGAUUAUUUUCCAGCAACCAUUCACGACCGGUCGGAAACUUUUUACACCAACUUUUGUAUCACUCUGAUCUAAUCAGGACCCUAAAACUACAAAUAAUGGAUGUAACAUCAACCUGCUGGACUCUGUUGGUCUCCUUUAUUUUCUCGAUCAUGUCUGCAGAUCAGGAAAACAUCACAGCUGAGUCUGGACAGAACGUCACUCUGACAUGUCGAGCUCCAAACAUCAAGAAUGAUCUUGUAGAGUGGAGCAGAGCUGACCUGGGAGAUGAAUAUGUGCUAUUUUACCGGGAUGAUCUGUCUGUUUCUGAUCACCAGCAUCAAUCAUUUAAGAACCGGGUGGAUCUGCAGGACAGACAGAUGAAGGAUGGAGAUGUGUCUUUGGUUCUCAUGAAUGUGACGAUUAAUGACACUGGAACAUACAAGUGUCGUGUUCCUUUGGACAAAACACACUCAUCGAAUCCCAUCAGCAUCAUCUUCCUGAGUGUUGUUGAUCCUCCAGCUCCACCAGGAGGAGCCACAGAGGAUGGAGAUGGAGUUGGUAGACGUCAUCAUGGUCGACUGAUAGCUUCUGUUUUGUGCCUUGUUGUAAUCAUUGUUGUGUUCUUUAAAAUAUUUCACCAUUAUUGUGAUCCCCUUUGAUGACAACAACAAGAAACUAAAGCGACAGAUGACAGACUGUAUCAAACCAAAGUGCAUCAGCCUGAGGUGUAGUAGACAGACCAGUUUCUUUUUCAUCUCCUGUGUUUCUGUAUGAUGAGUGAGUGUCUAAUGUCUAGGUGUGGGAGUGGGAAUGGAGGGGUGAUGAGAGGGUGUAAUGAAGUUGAUGUGUGUAUUUUCUUUAUGCAUUUAAUGUGUACAGCUCUUUGAAUGACUUCCUUACUGUAUGAGAAGUGCUAUGUAAAUAAAGUUUUUAGUGAUAUACUAAGAUUAAUACUUUAUUUAUGCACCAAGCACAUUGCAAGAAAGUCACAAAACACAAUUUUUAAACUUGCCUUGUAACAUAUAUACAUGACAAACAUGUUGUUUGGUGUAAAAUUCGUGGUGGAUUCAAACCCAGGACCUUGUUGCUGUGAGGCACCAGUGCCAUCACCCAGUGGUGACAAAGCCUGAAAAUCAGCACAUGUUCCCUCAGUCGUACAAAGCAAAUGUUUUACAUUCAGCCUGAUUUGUUUUUCUUCUCCUCCAUCAUCAGUGAUCAGAGGUCUGCACUGUGGAGCAGGAUUUAGUCUCAUCCAGGUAACUUCAGGGUUAACCCUGGUUUUACUGUAAUAUUAAGAUGGUUCACUUCUCAUUCCCAGUUUAUGCUUCAGUGGGAAAUCUAUGCCGUGACCAACUCCUGAGGUAUCUACACAUGGAGUUGACACAGCCUGCUGCUGUGAUUGGCCUGAUCAGCGCUGUUGACUCCUCCUGUGUAUUUCUUGCUGCUUUUUUUUUUUAAUAGAUUUUGAAUUUAUCAUUGAGAGGAUAAUGAUGAUUGCCUCAGUAUAAAGAAUAAUAAUUAUAACAAUUGUGAGAAAGUGUUCUGAUAGCGUCAUUGCUGUGUUGUAAAAUCGUACAGCGGGUAAAAUAUUAAAUAAUUUCUAUUUAGAUAUAUUUAUCAAGCUGCUGCUUAUGUAAAAUUGUCACCAGGUGUAAGUAACAACACAUCCAAUCCACACGUGCAUUUUGUUUUGUGGCCCACAUUCGGCUGUGAUAUAGACAUCAGUGUGGAUUGUACAAUGAUUUUAUGACUGAUGGAUGUGAAACAGGACUUAUUUCUAUUUAAAAUGUGUGUACUGUACAUAUUUGUAGGCUGAAUGCUGACCUCAUCCUCAGAGCACUGAGCUGUGAGUGAGUAACUUAGAGUCAAGGCCAUCUGCACUCUGAGAGGAUGAUGACUGGACUAUUACUUACUUUGUCUGUGGGUUCAUUGGUGAAGCUCAGAUGUUUCAGCACCAAGGACAGCGAGUAUCUGCUCCACUCCAGGGUCUGUCCGUCUGCCUGCAGUGAGCUCUGUUACCAGAAGGGGAGGACCGGCCUGUGGGCCACCACUGCUUGAGCUGUUGUUGGUAAAGGAGAGCAGAGUUCGCACACAA
rnacentral:lncRNA from 1 species